AACAGUAUGUUAAUAACUGGCACAGCCAUCUGUACAAACUUCUCCUGAAAUAACUGAAAAUUGAUUCAAGAUCAUAGUCAUACUGCAGCUACCAUGAGAUGAGCAAUUAUCCUGUGUCAGGCCUUCCGCCAUGCUAUUUCUGACUCAGGGCCAGCUUACCAUGGACCAAGUCCACUGCCACUGUGAGCCAAAGGUGCUAGGUAAUGGGUUUUUCCUCUACUGAAUUCUUCAGUCCUGUUCAUGGCACAGAUUGUACAAGUUCAUUCAGUUGGUGGUUAUAUGAGCACGUUCAGGUUGCGAAACUUCAUUGCGCUUCAUACCCAGGGAAUGAGCAACGUAAUGGAGACAUCUGAGCCUCUCUUCUACCCUGGGAAUGAAAGACAAGAGCGAAAGGGCGACCAGUUCAUAUUUUAGGCUAUUUACUCUGCUUUUUCCUGCAUGAUGGAAAACCAGGAAUCCCUCCAGGUCUCUAAAACUGUCCGGUAACAAAAAACCUCACCCACAGGAUGAAUGGAAAACUGAAGGCAAUUUAUGGGCUGCAAUAAAAGUUUUUAAAGUUUCAAGAUCGACAAUAUUAACAUUUAUGUGGAGAAAUACAAUGGGUUUGGCUAGCUCUGUAUGUUCCAAGAUUUCUGAGAAAACUCAAACUUUAGUAUCAGAGGUUUUUGGGUUUUCAUAAAAGUCUGUGAAGAAAAAUAGCAACAUUGACUGCCUAUUAUUUGAUAAGUCCUUCAAACAUAUUAAUAUGUUUAAUACAUAUUGGCUCUAAAAGUGUUAUGAGUUCUAAAUUACAAAUAAAGGCUAAGUAAC